ACCUUUAUAAAUAUCUUUUAGCACGCGUAAUUGCUGAUAAGGUUGAUUCAUUCGACUUGGUUUACCAUCUUUAUCAACUGUAAUUUCAUUGACAUCUUCAUUCAUAUUUAAAACACCAUUAAAUGUCCCUGCAAUAUUCACUUGUUUGUUUAACUGUGGCAGUGACUUGUCGUUACCAUAUGUCAUCAUAUAUUGUGCAAAUGUUAAGUUCCCCAUUGAGUGACCGACAAAGUUGAAUUUAUCGAAAUUGUAUUCAGAUUGUAACUUAGUCAGUACAUUUUUAAACCACGCAGCAUUCUUAUCCAAAUAGCCUUGUCUGUUAUUUUCAAGUUCAAUUUUUACAAUAGGAUUCACUGCAUCUUUUCUUAGUUCCCCUUUAAAUGUCACUGCACCAUCCUUUGAAACGUAAGCAGUGAUGAUAUCUUUAGUUACCCCUCUUUUUUCUGCUUGCUUCACCAUAAACUUUUCAGAAUUGGCACUACCACCAAAUCCAUGUAAGAACAAUGUUGGAAUUGGCUUUUUAACAAAUUGCUGUUGUUGUAUUUUAAAUGUUUGUGCCUGUCGUUGACUAAACACCACCGUAAUAAUAGAGCCUAUAAUAAUAGCGACCGCUAACAAUGUCGUAAUAAUUACAAAAAUUUUCUUCACACUUUUAACUCCCAUUCAUGUCUUUUAUAUAAGUAUAAAGGAUGUGAUUAAAAAUGUCCUUUAGUUGAUUUUGAAUACAUCAUUAACUUUUAAGAUGACUUUGGAAAGUUGUCCGUUAACGUUUGUUAAUUGAUUGCUUCUUUAGCUUUCAAUGGUGUGUCACCCAUUGAUUAAUAUAUAAAUAUGUAUAUGCAUGUUUAAUUUAUCUCUUUCUAU
rnacentral:sRNA from 1 species